rnacentral:rRNA from 1 species
GAUGAACGCUGGCGGCGUGCCUAAUACAUGCAAGUCGAGCGAACGGACGAGAAGCUUGCUUCUCUGAUGUUAGCGGCGGACGGGUGAGUAACACGUGGAUAACCUACCUAUAAGACUGGGAUAACUUCGGGAAACCGUAGCUAAUACCGGGUAAUAUUUUGAACCGCAUGGUUCAAAAGUGAAAGACGGUCUUGCUGUCACUUAUAGAUGGAUCCGCGCUGCAUUAGCUAGUUGGUAAGGUAACGGCUUACCAAGGCAACGAUGCAUAGCCGACCUGAGAGGGUGAUCGGCCACACUGGAACUGAGACACGGUCCAGACUCCUACGGGAGGCAGCAGUAGGGAAUCUUCCGCAAUGGGCGAAAGCCUGACGGAGCAACGCCGCGUGAGUGAUGAAGGUCUUCGGAUCGUAAAACUCUGUUAUUAGGGAAGAACAUAUGUGUAAGUAACCGUGCACAUCUUGACGGUACCUAAUCAGAAAGCCACGGCUAACUACGUG